rnacentral:lncRNA from 1 species
CCAUGAAUAAACUUCCUGCAGGGAGCAAAGGGCAGCAGGACCAUGUUCCCGGCAGGUCUGGGCCGUUCCAGCCGAUUGGACCCUGACCACUUCUUCCAAGGGGGAGACGGGCAGUGAAGGGACCACAAGGACCCGCUAACGCCUGGCAGUGUGCAGGAAGACGAGGGCAAGCCAAGGCUGAAGGAGGCGAUGGCAGCCACAGUGACGGACUCUGGUAGUGUGAGGAUCAUCACGGAGGUCAUCCCAGCCACAGACUCCCCAGCAGCCCAGCAGGCCUCCAGCUCCAGGCCAACUGCACCUGCCACCUCGUCCUUCCAAGUCCACAGCUUCAGAAGGGCUCAGCCCAAGGCACUGGGGGCCAUCCACAUUGUCACUGGAAUCAUACACUUCUGCUGUGGGAUCAUUCUGACCGUGGUAGAGCAUGAGAUCCCUUCCAUCACUGUGGCCAGUGGGGUCCUCUUCUGGCUUGGGCUCCUGCUCCUGGUCACAGGGUCUCUGCUGGUGGAAAGUGGAAAAAGAGAGAACAUCCUGCUGGUGAAGAUCUGCUGCAUCUUCAGCGCUGGGAUCAUUCUGAGCACCCUGGUGGCCACCAUUGUCCAUGCCAAGACUAUUACUGCAAGCCUUCCCGGGUGCGAGCACAACUGGCCUCACCAGCUGAGAGAAGAAAGGUGCUUCAACAUUGACAGAAAGACCCUGAGCAAUGGCUUGAACUUGGUGUUCGUCAUCUUUUGCCUCCUGGAGUUCUGCACAGCGGUAGCAGCCCUGACGUUUGGUUAUGGUGCCAUCAAGCAGCACAACUACAGGCGCGUGGUGUUGUAAGGACAGCAGAGCCGGUGUCCUUCCCCGCCAGGCCAACAGGGACGUGGCUACCCACCCCCAUCGUCCCCCCGCCACGCCAGCAUCUUGGGGCCACAGAAGCGGCUGCCGCGGGACCGGGGGGCGGGCG